GUCCCCAGGGCAGAGCGCUCAGCAGCGGCGGCCAGCACCAACGCGUAGCCUGGAAGCAUGUGCUGGUGUCCGCUGCCAAGGCCCAGGCACGGGCUUGUUGGGAGCUCACAGGGCGGCUCCUGGUUGUCGUCUUUAAGCCCAGGGCCCUGAGGGUGUGACCCUGCGUGACCCCUGGGAAAUCCGGGCUGCUGAAUUCGCCCAGUGUCUUCAUAACUAGUGACCUCGUGGGCUCCUUUCAAGGAGGGGCCCCCAUCGCAGAAGGUUGCCUCCGGAUUGGGGAUCCCCCCCCAACCUGGGGUCUCACCUUCUAGAAUCCGUUCAGAAGUUCUGACUGAUGACAAACUUCACGUCCUAUCUCAAGGAAAUUCUCUCUCUUUAGUCAUCCUGAGAGUUAGCUUUAAUGGAAUAAGAUUCGUUUUUAAUCUUUAGCACCAAUUUGGCUGUUUUUCUAAGGCAGCCGGCUUCCUACAGAAAUCUCCUUGUUGCAGAAUAAAUAUGGCAUUUUUGCAAAAGGAACAUUUCUCUUAUGCUCUAACCACUGCAGUUCACCUUUACCUCUCCCUCACCUUAGCCCUCAGCAUCUAAUUUAAAUCAUAGUGGCAUGUGCCUGGCAAGAAUGUUCCAGAAACUUUGCUUGACCUCCUGACUCCAGCCUUCUGCAGAGCCCGCCCGACCCCACCCCCUGCUUUGGAAAGGGGUCUGUUCUCACCUCUGGGCUGCGUGACUCAGCUCAUGUGCAGGCCUGCCAGUCUGGAGAUCCUUGCGCCCUGCUCCCCGCUUGACCUGUGACUCACUCAGGAUCAGCUCUGUCUGGAAGAUAAAGAGCCCAACUGUAGUUCUUCUCGAACCUUCCAAAAGCGGCGCAGAUGUAGUCCCCUUUGCACAGACCAGAUGUCCACGUGUCAAAUGGCUUAUGACAAUGUGCACUGAAGAAGUCCAUCGGAUUAGCUCAAGGCGGCAGCAGCCUUGAGCCACACGGAUUGUUUCCUGCGGAACAGAAGCAAGAAGCCCUCUGGUUGCUGGGAAACGGAGGCCGCAAAGCAGAGCGCGGCCGGCAGAACCCAGUGCAGCACUUUCACUCCCAAGGUCUGUCACUCGGAGAAGGCGAUUGGUGAGAAUGAGCCACUGUCGCACAGAACCGCCAGCAGGAGGCGUCCCAGAUAUUCACGCAAAGAAAUAGGAAUCAGGGAAAUAAACGUGCAAAUGAGAAGUGAAGGACAGUCACCAAAGCCAGAACAGGGGCCGACUGGCCGUCUGCUCCACCGCCACCUUCAUGGGACAGGGUGUGCUUCCCCACUUGCUGCAUUUGCGCAUUCAGUUAACACUUUUUUGAAUGCCUACCCCGUGCCAGACCCUGCUCUGGGCCCGCAGUCCUUGUCCUUGAGAGACUUCAGUCAAUGGGGGAGAGAGACAAGUAAUUCUAGCACGCAGUAGGUCUAAGCAAUGCUUGCAAAGCGCUUCAGGAUCAGAGCAGAGGGCAGCCAGCUCUGCCGGUGGGACUCACGGAGGACCUCACGGAGGAAGUUAACGGAUGAACCAAAAAUAGCUUCUGUGCUCAUAUUGGCGGUAUUGCUGCUGCCUGCUGGGUGGGAGAGAAUGUUCCGGAACGGGAUGGCUUGAGGCUUUUGCUAAAAGAGAAGUACAGCAUGGCUUAGGGGGCUAAAGGGACUGCUUUUGGAUCCCAGCUGGGCCAGGUACAGGAUAUGUGACCUGGGAAAAGUCAUUUGACAUGUCUGUACUCUGUCGCCCAGCUACUCAUAGCUACCGUGCUGGGUCAUUCUGAGCAUAACCGCGACCUGCACUUACUUGAUGAGCGGUACCUACCAUUACACAGCGCUCAGUAAAUAUCUAUUGAAUGAUGAGUAUA
rnacentral:lncRNA from 1 species